CUGGGCAACAUAGUGAGACCUUGUCGUAAAAAUUAAAUGAAGAAGGCCAGGAUGUAUCACACACCUGCCUGGCAAGCGCAAGGCCCUCAGUUUGAUUCCUGGUACCAAAAAAUAAAAUAAAUGAAUAAACAAGUAAGUGAGUGAACGAAUGACUAAGAAGAAAAGAAAAAGGCGCCCAUUUGCACCGAGCUUUCCCGCUGACCACUCCCAGGGGUCGCCCACGUGCUCACCGCUCUGAAAUUGCCGUUUUAUUUGAAAUGCCACAAAGUAAUCUAAUCUGCUUUGAAAUUGGCCAUCCUCGUAGCCAAACGGGGUAUCGAUUUGACCAGUAAAUACUCCCCCAAGGACCACCCGCCCGCCCUCCGCGCCGCGCUCUGCCUUUUCCAGAGCCGCCUCGGGCCAGCCUGGAGCAGCUUUGCCUGCCUAACGGAAAGCAGCCCCGCGGCGCCUUCGCCUUCGGUCCGUCCCCUCCCAUCCCAGAGCUCCGGCCCCAAGGUGUACCGGAGCAGGAAGGCCGCAGGCUCAGGGACAGCCUGACUUUGGGAAUGGUCCCCGAACCUGCCUUCCUUGCUGGACUCUCCACAUCCUCACUGAAGGCCGUGGCUCCUACACACAACAGGACACCGGGGGCAUGGGACGCCUUCCCAUACGAUUCAGUUACCCGGAUACUGCAAGGCAGCUUGACCACUUAUAGCACUACGCUCUUUUCUAGAAUUUCCAAAGGCCUCCACUUUGUCAGCGGAGAUUUGGCAUGAAUGCCCUUUUCGGAUCUGGCAGGAGGUAGCCGGGUGGCCCAGGAUGGUUCCCCAAGCCCUCCCCGCCCCAUACCACCGCACCCCAAG
rnacentral:lncRNA from 1 species